UCAGCCUAUAAGGCAGAUCCAAGAAAGGAGAGUAGAAACUUGAGAUCAUUACUAUCCUUUGAAGAGUAAUGGCAAUUCAAAAGGAAAAUGCAAUCGAAGGGCUGUUGGUAUUCAUUUUAAACACCUGUUGGUGAAGAAGGAAGUUUGAAGGCUAAUGAGGAAGGCUUAGGAAGGGGCCUAUCUAGGGAGGUGUUUCUUUCAAUUGGUGGUGACAGCUCAUGGCAUUUCAUAUGGCAAAUUGCUAAUCUUUUAUCAAGGUGGGUGAUUGAGUUUUCUGUCUACUUAUUUAAGUGUGGGGCUUGCACUAGUACAAUUGUGGUCUGUGGGUCAUUUUGUGUUGCUACUGAUAAACUUCAUCUACCUGUUAGCAUUGUAGGGAAAGAAUUAGAGUUGGGUUCCUAUUGUUGGGUUUUGUAUGGCUGCUGCCACCUAGUGUACCAAGUGGUUCCCAAGUGUUUUAUUUUCCUUAUUAGCUAGCUUCUUGUCUCUAAUGUAACUUUGUAAUGGUUCUCUUUGUAAUGGAAUUUGUGCUGAGAUUUUUUGAUACACUAGCACAGGUUACCGUUGUUUGUCAUGUUAAAAGUGCAUUUUUGCAAUAUCAACCGUCAUGGUGAUGUUUUCAGAAGAUGAAGUGUUGGUGAAAGAGAAGGUUAAGGAGCCUACUAAUCGGAGACAAUGUUCCACUUAGAGUGAUCCAAGACACUCUUCAAUUACUUGGGAAUGCAACAAUUCCUUGCAUCACCCUUUUGCUUGGUGGUAACUCACUCAAGGUCUGAUCCACUGUUGAUGAGAUAAAAUAGGUGAUCAAAGCAAGUUCUAGUACAAGAAAAGAGAGCACCAAAGCUGGAGAUUUUUAUGCUGAAGAGUUAGAACUGGUUAAGAAGGAAAAUGAAGAAGGUGAAGAAGUUUUUGAUCAGUGAAGGUUGCAAGAUUUGUUCAAAUGUUGCAGAAGUUGAUAUCACUGGGCGGACAAAGUCUAGCAAAGCUUUGGUGGGGAAAGAUUCUUGAGAGGAUGUCAUUGAGUGUUCUACCUCUUUUGCUGAUACAGUUUAUUUAUUGUUGGGAUCUCAAAAUUGUUGAAUUUAUUUUGGUGCACAAUUUUAGUUUGUUUGAUUUCAGCACAGUUAUAUAGAUUGGGUAUCAAUAUUA